ensembl:lncRNA
CUGAUAGAUAGCACGUGGGAUAUACUUACCCUGAUAGAUAGCACGCGGGAUACACUUACCCCGAUAGAUACUGUGUGGGAUAUACUUACCCUGAUAAAUACUGCAGGGGAUAUACUUACACUAAAAAAAAGGACUCGCUGCUUCUCUGGAAUUCAAAUUUACUUGGGCGUCCCGGGUCUUUUGUAGCUGUCAUGGAUCUCGUUUUUAUUUGUGCUACAUCUGGCCACCUUAGCCUGGCACAAAAUGUAUUCACCAAUGUUCAUUGAACGAACGAACGGAGCUAAAGCAUAUCAGCUGAAAGAAUAAACAGAUGAAGCAGUGAUUGAAACGCACAGGCAUUAUUACUAUGGUUGCCGUUGUUGUCUCACUGAUGGCUCAGAAGUUCCUGCCUCUGAGAACAUUCUAUCUAUCCCAGGCCCAGACCAUGGGGGGAAGUCGGGGCUUGCAGAGCAAAGUGAUUCACCCAAGGCCUUCAGGGCUGUCGCUCCUGAGGCGGGCCAUCUGCACCCCCAGACAGCCCCCAUCCUCCAAGCCUGAAACACACCCCAGCCUGAAUCUCAGAAUAACCCCACCAGGCUGGGACAGCUACCCUCCCCUGCUACCGAUGAAGAAACCGAGGCUCAGAGAGGCAAAGGGACUCAUCCACGCUGACAGUGACCCCCCCCGGGACCCUUCUCUCCACACUGGGGGCAGAGCCUGGAGCCCGAGAGCCACAGCUGGCAGAGCUCCAGGCUGGGCUGGAGCUGGUGAGCUGAGUGCCUUGGUUCUCUGGGUCUCGCUUGCAAAAUGGCCCGAAGCCCAGGAGAUCCACCCCCUGCCCGCCGAGGCUCUCAAGCUGAUGCUCACCACCGGCACUUAGUGAAAAGCUGUCCCCAAGCCUGGCUGCUGCGAAGCUGCUGAAUUUGGACCCAGACUCCAGGGACUCUAUCCAGUGCCUUCUCUAGAACACCUGAGUCUGUCCCCACCAGACUCACCUGGGCUCCUGGCUACCUGGACCAUCUCCAGCAGACCUCAUCACUCACCACUACCUCCAGGAGCGCACAGUGGAACUCAGGGACCCAAGAAAUUGGACAGGGAAAGAAGGGCACAUCUUUUUUUUUCUUUUUAAUUAUUUUAUUUGGCUGUGCUGGAUCUUCAUUUCUCCGUUGCAGGGCUCGGACUUCUCACUGCGGUGGCUUCUCUUAUUGCAGAGCACCGGCUCUAGGUGCAUGGACUUCCGGAGCUGUGGCUCACGGGCUUAGUUGCUCUGUGGCCUGUGGGAUCUUCCCGGACCAGGGAUAGAACCCGUGUCCCCUGCAUUGGCAGGCAGAUUGUUUACCGCUGGACCACCAGGGAAGUCCAGAAAGGUACAUCUUUAUUAGCCAACUGAAAUGUGGCGUUUCCUGCCCGUACAGGCGGACUUGGGAAACGAACCUCAGCAGGACCGUGGCUUUGUCGCUCAGAAAUCACAAACAGUUCCACAUCCCUCUCCAGUGUUGUAGAAAUAGUC